UUGGCAAUGAGGGGGCUUUUUCAGUUCCCAACUGAAAUGAUGAAUUUGGAGAUUAAAAAUACUGUUUUUGUGCAACUGGAGCAAAGAAGUCAGGAGUUGGUUGUAGGUGGGGCCAGGCAAUCAUUAGUCAGGAUUCUGGACCUAUGACAUUAAGAGGUAGGAAGUCCCGGUAUGCAAAUUAUUUUAUCUUAAUGAUUGAUGGAUGACUCCUCUUCUAUGGAGAGUUUUAGACAGUGGCUUAAGACUUGGAGAUGUGACUUGCCCAGAGUCACUGUUGUCUUCUGUGUCCUAGGCCCUGUGCUAAACUCUGGGGAUACAAAGAAAGGCCGAAAUCAGCUCUUGACUAAUAGGGAAGACAAUAUGUAAACAGUAAGGGAUAGAUGAGGUAUAUUGAAAAUCAUUACAGAUAGAAAACAGUAAACUUUGAGGAGGACUGGACAAAACUUCUUGUAGAAGACAUAAUUUUAAUUGGGACUUAAAGAAAGCCAGGGAGGUCAUUAGCACAAUGCUGAGAACUGAAUGAUGAGUUUUGUUUGAGGAAGAUAAAAGAAGCCAGGAAUCCGAUUGCAGAAUACCUAGGGGAUUAAUAAAAUGGGAGGAGACUAGAAAAGUAGGAAGAGGCAGAUUUUGAAGGGAUUUAAAAGCCAAAUAGAAUUUUAGAAUUGAUUUUGAAGGUAAUAGGGAGAACUGUUGCAGAGAUUAAUAUUAUUCAUGGCGGGGGGCGGGGGGGGGAGUUACAUGGUCUGAUCUUUGCUUUUAGAAAAUCAUUUUGGUGAUCACUCUGGUAACUGAUUGAUGACUUGAUUGUUUUGAUGGACUGAAGAGAUAGGCUACUGCAGUGAUCCAAGUGAUGAGGGCCUGCAUUCAGGCGGGGGCAUUGUCAGAGGAGAAAAGAGGACUGUUCUAGAGAUGCUGCAGAAGUGAAAUUCAGAAGAAAUGAAAGAUUGCAGAGGUGAAAUUGAGAAGUUGAGGAGAGAUGAGAAAAGCUGUGGAGGUGAAAUUGAGGAGGGAUGCUACAGAAGUGAAGUUGAGGAGAGGUGAGAAAAGUGGCAGGAGUGAAAUUGAGGAGAGAUGCUGCAGAAGUGAAAUUGAGGAGAGGUGAGAAAAGUUGGAGUGAAAUUGAGAAGAGAUGCUGCAGAAGUGAAAUUGAGGAGAGGUGAGAAAAGUGGCAGGAGUGAAAUUGAGGAGAGAUGCUGCAGAAGUGAAAUUGAGGAGAGGUGAGAAAAGUUGCAGGAGUGAAAUUGAGGAGAGAUGCUGCAGAAGUGAAAUUGAGGAGAGGUGAGAAAAGUUGCAGGAGUGAAAUUGAGGAGAGAUGCUGCAGAAGUGAAAUUGAGGAGAGGUGAGAAAAGUUGCAGAAAUGAAAUUGAGGAGAGAUGUUGCAGAAGUGAAAUGGAGGAGAGAUGUUACUGAUGUGAAGUUGAGGAGAAAUGUUGCAGAGGUAAAAUUGAGAGAUGUUAUGGAAGUAAAAUUGAGGAAAGAGAAUGCAGAACAUAAAGUUGAGGUUUUCCCUCAACUCAAAAGUAAAAUUGAAAAUAUGUUGCAGAGGUGAGAUUGAGGAGAGAUGAGAAAAGAAUAUGGGAGGUAGGGACUUGAGAGAAGGGGGUUGAGAGAGUUGGAUUAUGAUCCUGGUAACUGGGUGAAUGUUGUACCCUUGGCUUUUAGAAACAUUAAAAAGAGAGGAGAAUUGAGGGGAGCAGUUAUGGUGAAUUCAGUUUGGGCUCCUUUGCCUUAAGUUGUUCAGUCAGCAUUUGGAGAUUGGAAGCUACUUAGGUCUGGGAUCAGAGUAUGUAGAUGAGCAGAGCCUUGAACUUUCUGAACUGAGGUAUGGUACAGAUAGGGGACUAGAUGCCUUCCUAGCAUCAAUAUUGAGUAAGGGGAUUCAAUCCCAUCUCUGAAAAUGGGUAGAGAAAUGUGUCUUGUUUUAAGUGGACUUGCAUAUUCAGUCGGAGGAUAUCGUCCAAUUCAUUUGGCACCCAAAUUGUUUCUCCUGAGAGGUCCCUGAUGCAAUCAGUGUGUGCCUCAGCCUGAUAGCCGGGUGGGUCCUAUCUUGGGGUCAGGGCAGCGGGAGCCAGCCCUGCCCUGCAUCUCCUGCUGCUGCUUUUUCCUUUGUCCAGAGCGGUGUCAGAGGCCCUGGGGGACAUCCCCUUCUCCAGCACUCGGCCUGGCUGAAACCCCCACACUCAGACAGGGGUGUUGGCUGCCCCCAUUUUGCUGUGGUUACUUUGCCCUUUCUGUAACUCAGCUUUUCACUCUCCUCGCUUUGGAACUGAGGCAUUUUGGGGUUUUUUUCAUUUCUGUUACAUUUAGACCCCUCCUUCUGCCACGUUAGUCUGAGACUGCAAUGCAGACCAGCUGUUUGUGGCAACUCGGGUAAAGCCAGCCACCUAAAUGAAAGGGAUUGAGUAAUAUUUGUCGACUGGGAAUAAAAGCUGCACCGGGGAACCUUUGAAAGCGGCGGGGUUACUCUGGGAUUUGUUGAGUCCUUUCAGUGUCUCUACCUGCUUUUCAAAGACAAGGUUUCCGAGCGAGGAAUCGGACGUGGCGGCGUCUGCUCUUCCUAAUCAUUCAGAUGUGGACGAGUCGAACGGCCGUCGCUUUGACAAGUCGAUGACUAAGCUGGGGAGUUGCGGUGGCUCUUGGCUCCCGUGUGUCCCUGAGGGUUCUUUGGAGGACCGGCCGGGGGACUGAGGCAGAGACUUAGAGCAAGGAGGGGCCUCAGGUGGAAGGGCUGUGAGCCCAGGACCAUUCCUUAAGUCAGCUUUGAGGAGCCUAGAACCAGGAGGAGCUCAGACUCGCCCCUGCUGCAGUUUCUUCAUCUUCCCCGAGUUCUGAAGGGCACUGAGCUGGGAGGAUCCCAGGAGGUAGCAGGAGCCUCCUUUUGGGCGGGUCACGCUUUGCCCAUGGAGGAGGCGUGAGGAGGAGAGGAUGGAGGCCGGCCAGGACGCAGGUGCUGUGAUGUGUCUAAAACGAAUGGAUAUAAUUUGGUCCCUAAUUGUGGGUUUGAGGCAGUGUUGCUGCUGAGGGCUUCUUGCUGGAGACAAGGUGGGAGGGCUGUGGAGGUGGGAGACGGGCAAGGACAAAUGCAGAAAGAGGAGCUUUGUGGUGACCCAAGGAGCCGUCAAAGGUCAGCCCUCAGCCAGGCAGGGUCUGAAGCUCCAGCCGGGUGCUGGGCUCUGCGGGGAGGACUGGGGAAGGCAGCCAGGAAAGCCAGGCAGGGUGGCGUGGGGGCUCGGCCCGCACUCGCCUGCCUCCCCCAGCCUGAGCGGGAGCUGCUCGGCAGGGCUUGGGCCCGGCCGGCCGGGAGCUCACUGAGCGCUGCUUUCAUGGUAGGAUGGUAGCGGGGGUAUAGCUCUCCCUCCUACUUCUGGGAGCUCGGGGUGGGCCCCCACGGCUGGGCCCUGACGCCUUGUUUUGUGGGGUCUCGUUCUCAGAGGGAGAGCACAGACUGGACGUGUCUCAUUGAUCGGUCCGGCUCUGGCCCCGACCUGGCCACGAUCGUCCCCUCUCGUGGGCCGGGCCUCCUCUCCCUCCUGCGGCGGCUGCCUCUGGGCCCCACGUGGCCCGCUCCCCGUGCCCGGCAGCCUCUCCCUUGCUGCCCUCGCUCUGUCCCGGCCCCCGAGGGCGGCCGCUGAGCCGCCGUGGGUCAGCGCGCUCUGUCUGGGGGGGCCUUUGAGAGUGAUGAAUCGAGCUUGUGGCCGCCACCCUGGUUCACUUUGAUUCUCUGUG